CCUACGGGAGGCAGCAGUGAGGAAUAUUGGUCAAUGGACGAGAGUCUGAACCAGCCAAGUAGCGUGAAGGAUGAAUGCCCUGUGGGUUGUAAACUUCUUUUAUCUGGGAAUAAAGUGUUCCACGUGUGGGAUUUUGUAUGUACCAUAUGAAUAAGGAUCGGCUAACUCCGUGCCAGCAGCCGCGGUAAUACGGAGGAUCCGAGCGUUAUCCGGAUUUAUUGGGUUUAAAGGGAGCGUAGGUGGAUUGUUAAGUCAGUUGUGAAAGUUUGCGGCUCAACCGUAAAAUUGCAGUUGAAACUGGCAGUCUUGAGUACAGUAGAGGUGGGCGGAAUUCGUGGUGUAGCGGUGAAAUGCUUAGAUAUCACGAAGAACUCCGAUUGCGAAGGCAGUUCACUGGACUGCAACUGACACUGAGGCUCGAAAGUGUGGGUAUCAAACAGGAUUAGAUACCCGUGUAGUC
rnacentral:rRNA from 1 species